GAUGAAGAACGUAGCGAAAUGCGAUAAGUAAUGUGAAUUGCAGAAUUCAGUGAAUCAUCGAAUCUUAGAACGCACAUUGCGCCCCUUGGUAUUCCGAGGGGCAUGCCUGUUCGAGUGUCAUUAUAACCCCUCAAGCUCAGCUUGGUAUUGGGGCCUGCCAUCCUGGCAGCCCUUAAAAUCAGUGGCGGUGCCAUCCGGCUCUAAGCGUAGUAACUCUUCUCGCUAUGGAGUCCUGGUGGAUGCUUGCCAUUAAUCUUUUAACUUCUAUGGUUGACCUCGGAUCAGGUAGGGAUACCCGCUGAACUUAAGCAUAUCAAUAAGCGGAGGA
rnacentral:misc_RNA from 1 species